ACACCGGCAGCUCGAGUGGUAGCCGCGUUUAUUGGGCCUAAAGCGUCCGUAGCCGGUCCGAUAAGUCUCUGGUGAAAGCCCACAGCUUAACUGUGGGAAUCGCUGGAGAUACUAUCGGACUUGAGGCCGGGAGAGGCUGGAGGUACUCCCAGGGUAGGGGUGAAAUCCUAUAAUCCUGGGAGGACCACCUGUGGCGAAGGCGUCCAGCUGGAACGGACCUGACGGUGAGGGACGAAAGCCAGGGGCGCGAACCGGAUUAGAUACCCGGGUAGUCCUGGCCGUAAACGAUGCGGACUUGGUGUUGGGACGGCUUUGAGCUGUCCCAGUGCCGAAGGGAAGCUGUUAAGUCCGCCGCCUGGGAAGUACGGCCGCAAGGCUGAA
rnacentral:rRNA from 1 species